AUUGAACGCUGGCGGCAGGCCUAACACAUGCAAGUCGAGCGGAUGAAGGGAGCUUGCUCCUGGAUUCAGCGGCGGACGGGUGAGUAAUGCCUAGGAAUCUGCCUGGUAGUGGGGGAUAACGUCCGGAAACGGGCGCUAAUCCCGCAUACGUCCUGAGGGAGAAAGUGGGGGAUCUUCGGACCUCACGCUAUCAGAUGAGCCUAGGUCGGAUUAGCUAGUUGGUGGGGUAAAGGCCUACCAAGGCGACGAUCCGUAACUGGUCUGAGAGGAUGAUCAGUCACACUGGAACUGAGACACGGUCCAGACUCCUACGGGAGGCAGCAGUGGGGAAUAUUGGACAAUGGGCGAAAGCCUGAUCCAGCCAUGCCGCGUGGGUGAAGAAGGUCUUCGGAUUGUAAAGCACUUUAAGUUGGGAGGAAGGGCAGUAAGUUAAUACCUUGCUGUUUUGACGUUACCAACAGAAUAAGCACCGGCUAACUUCGUG
rnacentral:rRNA from 1 species